UGUAGAGUUCAUUGAUAGUCUUUACUGUUUGUGAGACGUUUUCCAUCUUAUCUUAGCAAAGUUCAUUGAGUCUUUAUUGUUUGUGAGACGUUUUCCAUCUUAUCUUAGCAAAAUGUCUGAUAGCGAGGAUAGUUAUAUGGCGCUCUCUGAGAGCGGAUCCGAGUCUUACGUCCCAAGCAUAGAUGAUUCUAGCAGCUCGGACGACUCAGGAAGA